UCAGGAUGAACGCUAGCGGCAGGCUAACACAUGCAAGUCGAGGGGCGAGCGGGAUGUAGCAAUACAUUGCCGGCGACCGGCGGAUGGGUGCGUAACGCGUAUGCAACCUACCUUAUACAGGGGAAUAACCUUUCGAAAGGGAGACUAACACCCCAUAGUAUUGAUUUAAGGCAUCUUAGAUUAAUUAAAUAUUUAUAGGUAUAAGAUGGGCAUGCGUAUGAUUAGCUAGUUGGUAAGGUAACGGCUUACCAAGGCGACGAUCAUUAGGGGUUCUGAGAGGAAGGUCCCCCACACUGGUACUGAGACACGGACCAGACUCCUACGGGAGGCAGCAGUGAGGAAUAUUGGUCAAUGGGCGCAAGCCUGAACCAGCCAUGCCGCGUGCAAGGAAGACGGCCUUAUGGGUUGUAAACUGCUUUUACAUAAGACUAACCGUAUAUUUGCGAAUAUACCUGAAUGUAUUAUGAGAAUAAGGAUCGGCUAACUCCGUGCCAGCCGCCGC
rnacentral:rRNA from 1 species